rnacentral:rRNA from 1 species
CCGAACACAGAAGUUAAGCCUCCACGCGCUGAUGGUACUUGGCUGGAAACGGCCCGGGAGAGUAAGUCGUUGCCGGGA